GCCCAUCAGCAGAUAAUAGCCAAAACCUUUCUGUAAUUGCAGUGGCAGCUCCUGAGGACAUGGAGGCGUCGCUGUAAGACAAAGUAAGUUCCACAUUUCAUCUAUGAGCACACAUCUGUGACAGCACAGAGAAGCCAUGGUGCAGGCCAGGCCUCCGAGCACAGCACUGCUUUUAAUUGGACCAAACUGGAUCCAGGGUCACCUUCAUAAUAACCUCCACCGCUCCCGUUCGUCUCAUAUCAACAAUCUGACACGAGACAACUGCUGCGAUGUACAGAGGGAAAUCCUUUUAUCAGCACAGCAGCCGACCGUGAUGAACGCCACGGCUGAUGGGUGUAACGAAUCACCGGAUGGUUGGAGGAACUUAGGAGCACAAAGGAAAACGAUGGGUGGAUAAGCAAAAAUAGGAGAGAAAGAUGAUAAAGAAGCAACAUUAAAGACAUAAAGAGGAAAAGAUGGAUGAAAAAUAAAUAAUUAUUAGCAUAUAAAGAUUUGACUUUGUUAUUGAAGGAUUGGUUUAAAGAGGGAGGAAAGAAAGGGGGAGACAAUCAACUUUUGCUCCUAGUUUUUCUGCUAUUGUUCACUCCUGGUGGAUGUCCAGCAUGCAGGAAAACUGCCAGUGGCCAUCUUAAUAAUGCCA